UAUUAUGGGAUUAGUUUUUAGAUUAUUUAUAGUCUAUUAAUUCAAUCCCGGGGCGUUCUAUUUGGUUAUGUAUAAUAAUAUUUAUAUUAUUUAUACCUCUAACUAGAGCGUACCUUGAGCAUAUAUGCUGUGACCCGAAAGAUGGUGAACUAUACUUGAUCAGGUUGAAGUCAGGGGAAACCCUGAUGGAAGACCGAAACAGUUCUGACGUGCAAAUCGAUUGUCAGAAUUGAGUAUAGGGGCGAAAGACCAAUCGAACCAUCUAGUAGCUGGUUCCCUCCGAAGUUUCCCUCAGGAUAGCUGGUGCAUUUAGAAAUUAUGUAAAAUAAUCUUAUCUGGUAAAGCGAAUGAUUAGAGGCCUUAGGGUCGAAACGACCUUAACCUAUUCUCAAACUUUAAAUGGGUAAGAACCUCACCUUUCUUGGUAUGAAGGUUGUGGUUGUGAUAUAAUGUGCCCAGUGGGCCACUUUUGGUAAGCAGAACUGGCGCUGUGGGAUGAACCAAACGUAAUGUUACGGUGCCCAAAUUAACAACUCAUGCAGAUACCAUGAAAGGCGUUGGUUGCUUAAAACAGCACGACGGUGGACAUGGAAGUCGUAAUCCGC
rnacentral:rRNA from 1 species